CCUACGGGUGGCAGCAGUCGAGAAUCAUUCACAAUGGGGGAAACCCUGAUGGUGCGACGCCGCGUGGGGGAAUGAAGUUCUUCGGAUUGUAAACCCCUGUCAUGUGGGAGCAAAUUAAAAAGAUAGUACCACAAGAGGAAGAGACGGCUAACUCUGUGCCAGCAGCCGCGGUAAUACAGAGGUCUCAAGCGUUGUUCGGAAUCACUGGGCGUAAAGCGUGCGUAGGCUGUUUCGUAAGUCGUGUGUGAAAGGCGCGGGCUCAACCCGCGGACGGCACAUGAUACUGCGAGACUAGAGUAAGGGAGGGGGAACCGGAAUUCUCGGUGUAGCAGUGAAAUGCGUAGAUAUCGAGAGGAACACUCGUGGCGAAGGCGGGUUCCUGGACAUUAACUAACGCUGAGGCACGAAGGCCAGGGGAGCGAAAGGGAUUAGAUACCCCGGUAGUC
rnacentral:rRNA from 1 species